CCUACGGGAGGCAGCAGUGGGGAAUAUUGCACAAUGGGGGAAACCCUGAAGCAGCGACGCCGCGUGAGUGAAGAAGUAUUUCUGGAUUGAAAACUCUAUCAGCAGGGGAGAAAAUGACGGUACCUGAUUAAGAAGCCCCGGCUAACUACGUGCCAGCAGCCGCGGUAAUAGGGAGGGUGCCAGCGUUAUCCGGAUUUACUGGGUGGAAAGGGAGCGUAGACGGCAGCAAAGGUCAGGCGUGAAAUUCGGGGGCUUAAACCCGGAUCUGCCUUGGAAACUGUGCAGCUAGAGUGCAGGAGAGGUAAGUGGAAUUCGUGGUGUAGCGGUGAAAUGCGUAGAUAUUAGGAGGAACUCCAGUGGCGAAGGCGGCUUACUG
rnacentral:rRNA from 1 species